CCAUGCCCCAAUUGUGAAAAUAGCAAGUUUUCCAUACGUGGAUGCAAGGGACCAAUCUGUUAGCCCACACCCGUAUGCAUUACAGAAAGCUAAUAUUGGUGCAAAGAGGUAGAUAACUAUUAUGUAGUACCAUUUGAGCUGGGUAAAUAUGUGAGGAAGAAUGGUUGUAGAGAUGGCAGCAAUGGUGACAUAACCUGUAACAGCAAACCAUGUUGGGAUUUCAUCUUUGAGAAAGAGUUGAGUGCGGCGCUGUUCGUCAAAAGAGAGCUUCUUGAUCUUUGGAAAGGGACUUGCAGAAGUUGUAUAGACCAUCACCAAGAAUCGUUGCAAUAGCAAUAAACACCCUGUAACCUUGGAGACCAUGUAAACUUUUGGGGCUCAGUUCUGCAGGAUACCAAUGUCCCUUUCUAGUAUCUAGUAGAGGCCACAUUAAACCCCAAGAAAUAAUUCGUCCAAGUAGCACUGAUGUGUUUAUGAUGUAUGGGCAAAUCAUACCUACUCCUACAUAGGUUGCUGAGAAAUCGAAGUAAAACCUGCGGACAUAAAGGUGGAUAAUUAGCCUAAAACAUUCACGGGGUGUGCUUAAUCAAAACAAAAUUCCUCGAAAGUUGAAGAUCAUGGAUGAGUAAAGAACGUGCAUGUUGUCUCUAGCUUGGAGCCCAAAUAAAGGAAAGUUAGAAAAUCCACAAUAAUCUUCGGUUUUGAAGAACCAUUGGAAGAAAGACCAUAAGAAGUUGAAGGAGAAGAACUUGCCUAGCUCUCGUACUUGUUUCUUUGCUAGCUUGGCUCCUUCAGGUGCAUGGCAGCUAUUUAUAAGAUGAGCUGUUGCAGUUCCACUUGGGUAUGUCAGUUUGAAGUCUAUGAUCAUGAUCUUCCGCAGAGGCACCACUGAGAAGAAAGAGGCCAAAAACGCUAACAACAAAAAGAAAGGCAAUAAUCCAUCCUAAAGCAGGGUCUUUAGUAUCUGUCUCAUUAUCUUCUGCCGCUUGUUUGGCAACGAGUUUACUCAUUCCAAAGAGGUAACUCCCAAAGCCACCGCUAAAGGCGAUGCCAGAGGAGGCGACAACACAGGUCUGGAUGACGGUAUUCUCUUGCCUGGUGAAGGGUUGGCUCAAAGGACCAAAUUUUCCGAGAAAAGUAGUCCAAAUCUUGAGGAAAAAGAAGCCCAAAAGACCAGCAGAUACAUUGAGUGAAGGUAUGAUCCCAGUUGUGAGAUUAAGCUUCAUUACUAUGAAGCUAAAUAAUAUGCUCAACACAAAGCUCACAACGAAGGCUCUUAUAGUUAGUUGGUUCCUCCAUAAUGGCACUUCUUGGUCCUCGAAUACACGCUCCACAGACCACUGCUGGUUUUCUCUUUUUUCCUCUUCUUCCUCUACCUCUACCUCAUCUUCUGAGUUUUUCCUCUUCAUCUUCGUUGAAUCGAAACCCACUUCAUUGUUUUGCAUGUUUGGCUUUUGUGAGGGAGAGAUUUGAUCUUCAAUUGAUAUACCAGUAGGAUAGUUGCUUGUGGGUGUCUAGAUCAUAUUAUAGGCUAUAAGAAAAGGAAGAAGACAAAGUAAUUGAAGUGUUUGGCUCAGAACAAGUGAUGCAAAUGCUUUGAAAGGGGCG
rnacentral:misc_RNA from 1 species